CAUUAGAUGGCUGAAAGUAAGUAUUGGUCUCUUAAACCAAAUUAUAAUAAAUUAACAAUUAUUUCUAAUGA
rnacentral:tRNA from 1 species